AGGAGGGGAAUAGAGAGAGAGAGGAUUGGGGGGGGCGGAGAUAUUGGGGAGGCACGUGGGAGAGGGGGCAGUGCUAAAUCAGGCAAGAAAAUGAAGAAGAGUUUGCGGGUUGAUUGAUUAAAUCUCAGCCAGCAGACAAAAAAGAAAACAAAGGACCCUGAGAUUUGACAUUUUGACAAGAUGUAACAUUGCACCAUAACCUAAUAAAGGCAAAAGCAAUCAAAGCAAGCAACACCACCACCAACCUAAUUUUACUCUUUCACUGCCCAGUCAUUCAAUUUUGAUUCCCUCUAUCUUACUUUAUUUUACCCCCUCCCCUCUUCUUUCAUUUUCU
rnacentral:lncRNA from 1 species